GACGAACGCUGGCGGCGUGCCUAAUACAUGCAAGUAGAACGCUGAAGAGAGGAGCUUGCUCUUCUUGGAUGAGUUGCGAACGGGUGAGUAACGCGUAGGUAACCUGCCUUGUAGCGGGGGAUAACUAUUGGAAACGAUAGCUAAUACCGCAUAACAAUGAAUGACUCAUGUCAUUUAUUUGAAAGGGGCAAUUGCUCCACUACAAGAUGGACCUGCGUUGUAUUAGCUAGUAGGUGAGGUAACGGCUCACCUAGGCGACGAUACAUAGCCGACCUGAGAGGGUGAUCGGCCACACUGGGACUGAGACACGGCCCAGACUCCUACGGGAGGCAGCAGUAGGGAAUCUUCGGCAAUGGGGGCAACCCUGACCGAGCAACGCCGCGUGAGUGAAGAAGGUUUUCGGAUCGUAAAGCUCUGUUGUAAGUCAAGAACGAGUGUGAGAGUGGAAAAUUCACACUGUGACGGUAGCUUACCAGAAAGGGACGGCUAACUACGUGCCAGCAGCCGCGGUAAUACGUAGGUCCCGAGCGUUGUCCGGAUUUAUUGGGCGUAAAGCGAGCGCAGGCGGUUUGAUAAGUCUGAAGUUAAAGGCUGUGGCUCAACCAUAGUUCGCUUUGGAAACUGUCAAACUUGAGUGCAGAAGGGGAGAGUGGAAUUUCAUGUGUAGCGGUGAAAUGCGUAGAUAUAUGGAGGAACACCGGUGGCGAAAGCGGCUCUCUGGUCUGUAACUGACGCUGAGGCUCGAAAGCGUGGGGAGCGAACAGGAUUAGAUACCCUGGUAGUCCACGCCGUAAACGAU
rnacentral:rRNA from 1 species